rnacentral:lncRNA from 1 species
UGUAUUCAUGAAGGAUUCCUUUUGCAGUGCAAAAUUCAUCCAUAACCCUGUUUUUGAACUCGGUUCCAUUGUCGCUUCGAAUUCGCCUCACCUUUAGAUUAUAAAGAUUUUCCAACAAGGUGAUCAAAUUCUUUAGAAUUUCUGGAGUCUCACUCUUGUGAACCAUGAAGUCAACCCAUGAAAACCUUGAGUAGUCAUCAGUAACUACCAAGCAGAAAACCUCCCCGUGCACACUCUUGUGUUUGACUGGGCCGAAAAGGUCCAUAUGCAGACGUUCGAGUGGCAUGUUGACAGUGUUAACCUUUUUCAAUGGAUGUGAUUUCUUGAUCUGCUUCCCUUUCUGACACGGCACACAGACAUCUUGAAGUUGAAAAUUCUUCACAUUGACACCUCUCACCAAGUUGUUUUUGACAAGGUGAUUCAUUUUUCUGAGGUGAAUAUGACCCAUCCGUCUGUGCCAAGAGAUCCGGGAAUCUUGAAUCCUGGCUUCAGCACAUAACAACCGGCAUCAUCAAAAUGCACGGUGAACUUCUUGUCGCAGAUCUGAGAAACACUCAGGAGAUUGUGAUCCAACUGUUGCACAUAAUUGAUUUUGUCGAAACUCACAAUUCCAUUUGAGAUCAUUCCCUCGCCGGUGAUAUACCCUCCUUUGUCUCCAGCAAACGCAACAUAUCCUCCUCUUAUACUUCGCACAUCGAAAAGAAGACGAUAGUCGCCCGUCAUGUGCCUGGAAGCCCCACUAUCAACAAUCCAAAGACUAUUAAUAGUUCAUCCUGGAGCCGCCUGCACAUGCAACUAAAUUAUCAGUUUGAGAGGGGGACCCAAGCCUUUGUGGACUUGGGUCGUCCUUGAUCAUCAAGGAAAGUGAUCUCAAUCACUUGAUGAUUAGGAAAAAGAACUUGUGGUGCUCCCCCUGAUUGAAUUACCUGUUUUUGUUUCCAAGCUUGUUGUCCCUUACCAGUAUUUGAAUUAAUUGUUUUUGCAUUUACUGGUUUUACAGUUGUGGAUUUAGCUUGUACAGGUUUUUCUUCUUUGACCUCUGAUUUUAAGGCCUUCUCAAUUACCUUUUGGUUCUUUUGUUUUAACUUCUUUUCCCUUUCUUUCAAGAUACGUGGGUCUUGUUUCGGGGAAACCGGUUGUUUUUGGUAAUUGGUUUCUUGGGGAGCACUCGUUUUUCCUUUCAACUUUUGCAGGUAUGGGUAGUAUCUUACAAUGUGCCCAACUGUGCCACAUUCAAAACACAUUCUCCGCUCUACAAACCUCGGAGAAACAUGUUGAUGACCAGACGGAGAACCAGACAAUGAACUUUGUGAUCUAGAUGUACUUGGACCUAAAUCACAUCCGUUUGUGUGUUGGGUGUAAUUAUUCUGAUCAUUUCGUUUUAAAAUUCUAACUUGUU